rnacentral:rRNA from 1 species
GUAUCAAUAAGCGGAGGAAAAGAAACUAACUAGGAUUGCCUCAGUAACGGCGAGUGAAGCGGCAAGAGCCCAAACUGGAAAUCUUCACGUUUCACGUGACGAAUUGUAAUCUAAAGAUGGUUUGCUCAACUGGAGGAGGCGCAGAAGUGCCUAGAACGGGACGCCAGAGAGGGUGAGAGCCCGUACA